CUUCACCGAGCCCAGCCACAGCGGACGGUCCUCGGCCCGGUCCUUGCCGUACGUCGCGAGCAGGGCCUGCGCCUC
rfam:Saccharothrix sp. ST-888 contig-227, whole genome shotgun sequence.